CCAUGUUCCCUACAGAGGAGACCUUUGAUACUGGUAAGAGCCUAAUGAAAAUGUUUUUCAAAAAUAAUUUGUAUAAAAUCCAUAACUGUUGAAAAAUGGGUCAGAGUUCCAAAAUUAAAGAAUGGGUUGCCAAACUAAUAACUUGUACAGGAUUUGGAUCCCUGGAUAAAAUAUUAGUGCAUUAACAAGUUUAAGGGGAAAUUAUGCCAUUGACUAACACAUUCAAAAUCACUUAUAGUUUGUUAUUAUUUAUUAUUAUUUUUUUUUUUUUUCAUGUGAUGCUCCGAUUUCUUUUAAAUGUACUUUAAAGAUUUAGCGUUUGACAUCACAAUUCUGUUUAGUCUUGGCACAACCAGGGCACGAUAGAUUGGUGGAGGGGAACUAGAAACAUUGUUGCUGUUGCUCUUCCUCUGUCUAUGCUGACUGACAGUUGUAAAGGGCAAGGCUUAUAACAAUGAUUUGACCGGUAAAAUAAGAUCAAUGUAAGGUAGCGUCUGACUUUAUCUAGGACCCUGCAGUUUAUAGGAACCCGACUUCCAUAGACCUGGCAAAGCGUCACUAUGUACCUUUACCAUCUCAUAACCUAAAGAUGGUCAAAACAUUCAUUGCAGCUGAUAUUGAGCUAAAAUGCUCAGUACCCUCCACCAGAAUCAAAAUACAAAUAUUGGAAAUAUAAUUUAGGAAUAAUUCCGGCUGCAUUUCCUUAUAAUCAUUUGAUCGCUGGAUGAACCAUUAAAAGCAGAGUAAUAUUUUCAUUAUGAUGUUGGAUGGAUGUUGCAAGUGGUUUUCAGUUCCCAGGCUUGGGCAUUAGAAGGGUUAACAGAGACACUGAAAUAAAGCAGGACAUGACCAUUGUCAGGCAAUCAUGAGGAUGCCUCUUCCAAUGUCUCUUCUUCCCAUACCUUGCAUACCCCCGACCCAUUAUCAGAGAGCCUUUACUAAUCACUCCUGCUAUUUGCUGCUUCCUACAGCCAGAGGCAGAGAGAGGACAAGCAAAGCUUUAACAGUGCACUCUCUACAAAGCAUUGCAACAUACACCGUCCCUCCUGUUUAUGACUGGUUUCAGGGUAGAACCGAUUUUCUGUUUGCUGUGUAUACACUUGCUGUUACGCAUUAAGAAUGUAGGCGGUGAGGGUUCACAUACAGAACAUUUCACGGACAAUGCACACAGCUCGGUUUACGCCCGCAGUGUAUAAAUGUAGAAACCGCUCUACUCAAUCCAGAACGGACUCUUCUGGCUUGGAAAAUUAGGGUUAACAACACUAUGUAUAAGCCAUGUAUCAUUCAUUGGCCAAACAGCAGAUACCCAGACCUCCACUCUAGUGUUCUAAUUCUAUCAUAUCUGAUGAUCUCACUUACUCCUGGUCUCUUUCUCUUCUAAAAUAAUCUAGAAUUAGGAUAAUUACCAUACAUGGAGGAGACCCAAUAGACGUGCACAUAAAAUAGCUAAUUUGGAAGAAAAACAGGAAGACGAGGGGAAGAGGACAUGAAGUGUACCUGUCAUGGGCACACCAAUUUAUGGUCAAAUUAAAGUGACAAUACAUGCACCAUAACCACUACAGCUCAUUGUAGUAGUCCUGGUGUUAUAAGUCUAUGGGUCUUCUUCCCGGGUUUAUUCUAAAAUAUAUUUUUGAGUGAUUGAAUUAUGGGGCUCUUUCUACUGAUGAAGUGUGACAUUCGAGAGGAAAUGGAGAAAAAAAAUAAAACCAAAACCAAACAUACAGUGAAGUACAAAGUCACAAAACAGCUCUAUUGUCCUUUAGCUAGCCACUAGGCAUGGGGAAAACACAUACGACACAGUCUUACGCAAGACAGAGGGGCAGGAGUCUCCUUUCGAAUAAUGUGGAUCAUUGCUCCCAUUGAUUCUGUUGUUGAUCUCUACAAGUGAUUUUGGACUUACUUUGAAAAGUUCUUUUUACCAGAUUUGUAUCCGCAUGAAAGCUCCAGGCUCUGUGGAGUACACAUAGUGGGUUUACAAUAGUCUGUUUUAAAUUAAAAUGCUUUUAAAGGUUAAGUACUAUGGCCUCUAAACCUUCCUAUACUGACUCGGAUGAUUCUACAACUGAAGUUAGUCCACAUUUUUAUUUUGGAGUCAUGUAAAUUAGUGCGGGCAGGCUGGGGACUAUCCAUAUUUUUCGCUCAAACAAUUUGAAGCCGUGGGACUUGGGAUGGUAUCCAUAGCCUCUUUGCACCAUAACCACUACACAAAUAUGCUUAAAGGGCUCUCUUAACAUUCUUUAAAUGUUUCUUCCUUGUUUCUAUUUCUCCCCCCCCCCCCCCAUAUUCUCAGCCUCACCCAAUGAUUGCAGCCAUUGAGGUACUUUUGACCCCACUUAACUUCAAAUGCCUAGUGUGUGGGGUGUUACCUUUUAACCGUUGGACACCCUAGUGAAUUCCUAGCCUAGGAUUUGGCCAUUGCUUCUAACGGCGUUUACUUUCCUUUUGCUUACUAAAACUGUUUAAGGUUGAACUCGAUGGAUUUGAGUCUUUUUCAACCUAGAUUACUACAUAUUUGAAAUCUCUCAUUACUGAAUAACCCUGACAGUUAUUCACUAAAGUAAAAAUUCAAAGUGAAUUUAAAAUUUAAUGUUAAAAUAGCCAAACAGGAAAAAAAAUUUUAAGUCGGCAAUGCUCUUAGUUUGGCUGCUCUGGCCUUAAAUGUGAAAUUCUCUUUGAAUUCUUACUUUAAUGAAAAUAACCUGACGGUGUUCAAAGUAAGUAAGAGAGAGAGCAAUUACGAGAAUAUAUUGCUGCAUAUAGAUAUAUUUACCUCUUAGUAUAAUAGUUAAAAAUGGUUUAUUGUCUGACAUUUCAGUUUGUCACGAGAAUGACAUAUAUAAUAGAAUAUCUUUGGCUUUUUAGGAACAGUGAGACUAGAUGAGUCCGUAUCUUUUAAAAAAAAAAUGCAUUAUCUGUCUUCACAUUUCAUGCUUCUGAGUUUAACUGUCAUUUUGCCAUUUCUGCAGAUAUUUUAGUUUUAAGGAUUUACCGACUUCACUGACAUUUGAGAGAGCUCACUGAAGGUGACGGGUUCUUUUUGGUACCCCUGCGAGAAAUUCUACAAACAUUUAUGGUGGAUCAGAAAGAGUGCUCUGUGAUGAAGGUGUGCUCCCUUCAAAUCUCUCCCUCCUGCUGUUACCAAAUGGUUUGUCUAAGAACUGGUACUAAUGACAUCAUAAGAAGUGGCAGCUGUGUAGCUAGGAGAUGCUGAGCGCUGAACGUGGUAGAACCCAUGGGGAAAUUGAUGCCCGCGCCCUGAAAAGCUUUAUAUUUGUCAAUUCUGGGAAUCUCACAUUUUUUUUUUUUUUUUAAUUCUUUAUUUUUGAAGUGCAUGGAUUAACAAUAGGCUUGUUCAGCCACAACAGCAGUCACAAGCAGUAAUAUACAGAGGAAACAUAACGUGGCAUAUGACUAUACAGCACAAUUUUAGUUUUAUAAAAGAAAAUAUAAGCAAUGAGUGAGCAACGCUUGAGAUGUGCUGAACAUUUGUCUUUGUCGCAAUGGUAAAUUCAAGAAGCAUAAACACAGCUUUGAUACAGUAGUAACAUGGAGAUAUCAGCAUAUUAAUUAACGUUAAGUUGUAGGUUGUAGGCGAAGUUAUAUUUAUAAGUUUUAGUCUUGCGUGUCAGUUAAGGCUAUAAGUACAGGUGUUAAUACUGGUUGACUUACAGACUUGAUAGAAAAUAAUAUAGUUUGGCUAGGUUAAGUGCAAUUAAAUGAAAAUUAGGUUAAAUGUUAAAGGUAAAUAUAUAGGGAAAGUAACAUACCACCAAACAGAGAGGGACAUACCAUGUCCACGUUAGCAUUAAAAAAUAAAGGGAAAUAAACAAUCUGACAUUUUUUGACCUAAGCGGUCUCUGGUUAAGUUAUACACAGAAGAAUCACCCGUAAGGAUGCUGAGGUGGAUACUCAGCGUUCAUUUCUUAUGGUUAUGUCAGCGGGGAGAUCUAGCUUAACAUAAGUAGUGACUAAUAUGCGAGUUUGUACCAGAGACUACUUUUGAUGGUCGAAGUACUAGGUGAUGAAAAAGUGUAAUAAAAUACGAUAAACUAGGAAGACAACAGAACUCGGGUGUGAGCAGUCCUAUACACCUUAACACCUAGAUUAUUCCUCCCCUUUCCCCUCCUCCUCUUCUCCUUUGAUAACCUAUCUUUUCCCUCCCUUAAAAGUUAGUUUUUGUUAUGCUAUGCAUCGUACAUAUAAUUCUAUAGUGCCUCAUUCGCGACCACAGGUCUAUGGGCACAAACAGUGUCGUAUCAGGAAUAAAACAAUGUAUAUUGUUAUAAUUUGGCAAGGCAAUAUCGAAUGUACUAAGAGGUGAGUGAACAUUUCUGGCGUCAGAUUUAACUGGUUGGUGUGAACUACAAGCUCACUAUGGUGUUCGAGAGAAAAUAACAAGGAAAGGGGAAACAGUUGAAGUCAUAGUGCUAAAUAUAAUGAUGGGGUGGAAACGAUUGGGUUGUUCAGUAGUGUGGGUUUGGGUUGUGCAUGGCCGUCCCUAUGCAUAAUAUGCCUAGUGGUGGGGCAAUGUCCCGGUAACUCACACAGUCCAGAAUUGACCUUCAGGUCGUGGCAGCGACGGUGGGUGAUUCUUCCUGUCGUCUGGGGACAAAUUCAGCAGCGCUAGCUGUUUCCCAACUUGGGGGGUUCCGAGGUCUGUCCUUAGGUGCUGGCUGGGUCAAUGCGUUCGGGGGGAGGCCGAGCAACCCCAGGAUCAUCGGUGCCUCUUGUAUGCAGUGAAUUUUAUGCGUAUCUUCGCCUUUUGUUACCAUCAGGGUGUGAGCCGGGCCCCAGCGGUAUGUGACAUGUUUCUCACGCAGAAGUGAUGUCAAUUGUUGCAGGGAUCUCCUCCAGGCUAAAGUGGCUCCCGAGAGGUCCGCAUAAAACAUUAGGUUCAUGCCUUCGAAGGGGUAGGUCUGUUGGAGCCUGGCCACGGCCAGAACUGCGGAUCUGUCUCUUUGGGCUUGAAACUGCAGGAUCACAUCACGGGUGGCUGCGUCUGGAGCUUUAGCGGGUUUUGGGAUACGGAAUAUUUCAUCCAGUAUCACUGCUUUAGCAUGUUUUGGGUUUAGCAUUAUCGUGAGGAGCCGCCGCACGAAAUGGGGCAGUUCAGAGUCCGUCACAGUAUCUGUUAUUCCUCUGAUCUUGAGAUGCUUCAGCCGACGUUUAUCUUCCAGCUCUGCAAACCGUAAGUCAUUUUGUUUGGACAGGUUCCUCAGCGCCAGUAUCUCUUGCUGUAGCUCCUUGAUAUGUGUGUCUUGGGCUUGCGUGGUGUGUUCCACAGCUCCAAGUCGUCCACUGAGGCCCUUCAGCGUGUCCCGAAUUGAGGCCACAUCCGCUGAUAUUUUUUUAUGGUGGUCUGCCAUUAAUUCUCUGAUGGCCUCCAUGCUCACCGGGGUAGGGGUUGCGGCGGGUGGUGGGGGCUGUGUUCGAUUCAGUGGGAGUUUGGGGUUGGCUUGUAGGGGCUCCCCUUCUGCUUCAUCCGAAGACUCACUGUAGAAGUCUGAGCAUCCGCCAUGAAGGGACGCCAUGUUAGGGAGAGAGGCUUCUUGGGCCUUCCGCCACAACUCGCCAAUAUGUGUGCCCGGGUGGAGUUUUUCGGGCUUUAACUUCUUUGUCUUUCGCCCCAUCGCGUUUACCUAAACGUUUGGGUCCGUCUGGGUUGGAUUUGACCCGAUUGUGGGUGUUUUUAGUGGGUUUUGUCAGUUUCAGGCCUGGAGCUCAGCAAUCCUGCGACCGUCCGCUUCAGUGGUUAGGCCACGCCCCGGAAUCUCACAUUUUACUAAUUGUAUGACACAGUUGUCAUUGUAUGCAAAGAUGAGCUAGAAAGACAGACAGAUCCGUCCGUCUCUCCACCAUUUCCUAUUUAUUUUGUGAAUAAUUUGAAAAGUUUUUUUUAAAAAAAAAUCAUUAAAUCAUUUGAAAAGCUGUUAAUGGACAAAGAGAAAUAGUAAAGAUAAAAACCUAUAAACAGUAGGUAAUGUUCAGGAGUUAGUUACUAAAGUGUAAAUAUGUAAACUGUAGACAUGUGCAAUUCGUUUCAAUCCGAAUAUGAAUUCUUUGGAAUUUUCCCACGCUGUGUAAUUUGACUCAUAACUCUCUGAUUGGUGGAUUAAGUAACCAAUCAGAGAGUUAUGAGUCAAAUUACAAAGCGUUGGAAAAUUCCAAAGAACUUUCCCACACUGUGUAAAAUGACACAGAGCACUCUGAUUGGUGGAUUUCAAACCAACCAAUCAAAGUGCUGUGACAGGUAAAUGUAGAGACUUACCUGUCAGUCCCUUCAUUUACCUGUCAGAGCACUCUGAUUGGAUGGCUUAAACCCACCAAUCAGAGUGCUCUGAGCCUGAUUGCAGGGCGGGGCAAGACUUUAUAAGCCUUCCCCCGCCCUGCAGAGCUCAGUCUGCGCGGAUCCCUCGCUGGGUGAAGAUGGAUUUUUUUUUUUGCACUCUUUUUUUUUUUUUUUUAUUGCGUCAAUUAUUAUGGUGUUUUUUAUUUGACCCUUUGGGGCUGGAAAAGAAGAUUUUUAGAAGAAAGAAAACAUUGAAUUUUUUUUACAGGUACUUAGUUAAAGGUCCCCCUCAUUAUUUUAGGUUGAGGUGGGUAGGUAUGGGGAUAAUUUUUUUUGGGGGGGGGUGACUAGGGGUUUGGGACCCCUAGUCACGAGAGGACAUUUUUUUGUUGGGGCCCCACCGCUCAGGGGUGGGGGCCAGGGGGAGGACAUUAGGACCCCCUUGUAGUAUUAGGGCCUCCACCUGCGGCUCAGGGGUGGGGGACAAUAGGUCCCCCAUUGGUAUUAGGGCCCCCACCCAGCUGCUCAGGGGUGGGGGCCAGAGAACAUUAGGUCCCCAUUGGUAUUUAGGGCCCCCACCCACGGCUCAGGGGCCAGGGGUGAGCAUUGGGUCCCCCCUUGUGAGUAUUUAGAGCCCCCACCCACCUCGGGGGUGGGGCCAGGACCUUGGGUCCCCCUUUGAGUAUUUAGGGCCCCACCCAGCUCAGGGGUGGGGACCAGAGGAAGGACAUUAGGUUCCCCCUUACUAGUAUUUGGGGCCCCCCCCAGCUCAGGGGUAGGGGCCAGGGGACAACAUUAGGUCCCCCCUUAGUGUUAGGGCCCCCACCCAUGGCUCAGGGAGGACAUUGGCCCCCCGUAUUCCAAUUUAGCCACAGCUCAGGGUGGGGGCCCAGGGAAAGGACAGUAGGUCCCCCCCUAUUCCCAAUUAGGGCCCCCACCCGCCAGGGGGCCAGGGGAGGACAUUAGGUCCCUCCCCUUAUUAAUAUGUUAGGGCCCCCACGCGCUCAGGGGGUGGCCAGGGGAGGAAAGGAAAUUAGGGCCCCCACCCACAAGGUGGGGCCAAGGCCAUUAUUCCCCCUUAUUUAGGGCCCCACCCACCGCCAGGGGUUGGGGGCCAGAAGGACAAUAGGUUCCCUCCCUUGUAGUGUAUUUAGGGUCCCCACCCACCGGCUCAGGGGCGGGGAGGACAACAGGUCCCCCCCAUCAUUUUACUUUAGGGCCCCCAUCCGCCGCGGGGUUGGGGCCGGGACAUUAGGUCCCCCCCCUUAUUAGUAUUUAGGGCCCCCACCCACCGAUCAGGGGUGGGGGCCAUGGGGGAGGACAUUAGGUCCCCCCCUUAUUCCAAUUUAGUGCCCCCACCCACCUAUAGUCACCCAAACCACUUCAGCUCAAUGAAGUGGUCUGGGUGCCAGGUCCCUCAGGUUUUAACCCUUCAGAUGCAAACAUAGCAGUUUCCGGACAGCCACUAGAGGCGCAUCUGCGACACUGGAGGCAUAUUAUGCCUCCAUCACGCAGAGCGUCCAUAGGAAAGCAUUGAAAAAUGCUUUCCUAUUGACAGCUUGAAUGUGCGCGCAUUCGGCUCCGCUGACGUUGGCAGAGGGAGCUGACGUCGGCGGGGGGGAGGGGCGCUGGAAUUAGGUAAGCAGUUGAAGGGGUUUUAACCCCUUCAGCGCCACGGGAGGGGGGCACCCUCAGGGCCCUAUAGUGUCAGGAAAACCGCUAUGUUUUCCUGACACUAUAGUGAUCCUUUAAAGAUUUUGAACUGAUUUAGGGUUCACUUUGAAUCCUCUGUGGCUCGGAAAUUGUAAUUGUGACGAGACCAAUCUCGCCACUGUGCAUUGGAGGAGCCUGGUUGCCCACCUGCUGCCUUUAGACUAUGGCCCCAUGUUGAAACGCUUGAUUUUCCCCUGCGAAGACAUGAAAACCGGGUUAUUCGGUGCUGGCCCUGUUUGAGCGGUGAUACCCCAGAUAGCUAUGCCAUGGAGCCUAUGGGAAAGACUUUGGCUCCAUGGCAAUUGAACUGUAUGUGUGUGCUCUGAGCGCCAUUCAGUAAUAUUGUGCGCUCAGAUCUGGGCUAUCUGGGGAUAUGUCCAAGCUGGACAAUGUAUUCAAAAACUUCUGGCUAAUACUGGAACACAGAAGGCAGCAACCUCUCGCAAGGCAGUCAGAACCCUCACAGCAUAAGCAGAUUCCAGCUUUGCAGCAGAGGUCCACAGCUCCGACAACACACAAGGUCCCAAAGAGGAAGCAGGGCAGGAAGCGCCUGUCGCCUCAACGCAGGGCGGCAUACAAGAGGAAGCAACUGUGGCUCAGCGCUGGGACUCUAAAACGGGCAGAAGUACUGGUGGAUAACCCAAUGGCAGCAUAUGAUGCUACCUACUGGCGUACAUGGAGGCCUGACCCUCUUACAGUUGCGGGACUCUGUUAUACCCCUUGUCGGCAUAGGGUGAUCUGGGUCCACUGGGAAAUGCUCUUGGCCCUUCAUAUUACCGCCUUACCAAAGUUCAUGUGAACAUCCUUUUUCUCACCCAACGGUUCCUCUGGCCUUUUCCCCUUGACAUGCUACUAGCUGGGGACCUCCCGGGAAAAUCUUUCUGAUACCUCUCAUGUUGAUUUAUACCUGUUUAUAAAUGUGUGCAGUUGAAUAGACAUGUUCAAGCUUUAUUACUGUUUACUACACGUACAACCGGUGUAUUCACACAUUGUUUACUCACUAAUCAACAUGCCUACUCUGUUUAGUAUUGAGCCUGUAACUCGUGUUAUUGUUAAAACGUGCAGCACCUUAUAACUAUGUCUUGUUACAUUACUUUAUGCUGUAUGUCAUAUUGGCAGCAUGUCUUUGAAUCUGCACUGCAAAAAAAUUUUAUUGUUCAAGUUAUUUGUAUUUUUUGUUUUUUUUACUCUUUAUUUUUAAAUUGUCGUCGCAUACAAUUCGAGAUAAAAGUACAUAGGAUAUCAUACAAGGCCAUACCAUCCGAGUGUUCGAUAAGAUAUGAUGCAUGUUAGUCCAUCGAAAGCCGCGGUAUCACCUCAUAGUCUCUGAUAAGCGAUAGUAACAGUUGUAUAUCUGCCGACAAGGUUUUUUAGACAUAUAUAGAGAGAUAGUAUAACAGUGGUUUUAACGAUUUAACCACCCCCGUCCUACCCUCUUGCUGUUGACGUGUGUGUAUGUAUAUAUGUGUGUGUGUAUGUAUAUAUAUAUUUGUAUGAAUAAUACUAGUAGGUAGGUACAUGUACUGGCCCAACCAAGAAACGAAAGCGCAAACAUGUAGAUAGAACGAAAAAGGGGAGGGGAAGAAGAGGAUAGGGGAAUAAAGAAGUACCGUUAAGUUCCCUAUGUGUGAGCUAUCUACCAUAGUUAGGGUAACCGUUCAGGGUACCUGGGAAUACCUAUUACCUCUAGAGAGCUUUCCUUCCCUCCUGUUUCUGCUUGCCAGGGUGGGGUUGGAAUUCUGUUUACUGGGUCAAGGGGCAAACAACCUCCCCUUCCCAGCUCUCACCUCUCCCACUUUUUUUUUUUUUUUUUUAGGUUAAAACAUUGUUCAGCUUGCUGUGGGGACCUCAGUAAAUUUGGAGUGCUUUUAUAGCUAUGGACCUGCGAUGGACAUUCUUCUUUUUGGAUUCUAUAUUGAAUGACUGUGGAGUCAUAGUUCAUUGUUGCACCUUCUAGGGGUGAGGAUAUAUAUAUGGAUAUAUACGGUCCCUUUUUUAAAUCCGCUAUUAUUUCAGGUCUACGACAUUGGCCUAGUUUUGUAACUUUUCUCAACAAUUCCCAGUAUUCCCGGUACAGUAACCCUGAUUGACCCUGGCAUGUUCUGUACUUGAGAAUAGUUCACGAAAGGAUACUUUCGAGAUCUCUGUAGUUUUCAUGUAUCCACUGGAUUGUACAUUGUUCUCUUCUAUUAACCGUAAUGUACGCAGUUUAAUUAUUCUUUCAGAAGUUUGAAAGCCUACGUUGACUUUACAGAAAAUAAAAACUGUGACCGAUAUUUUCAAAAACGCUCAGAAUUUUUUUUAAAAACUUCAGAAAAAGGAAGGUGUAUCAACUAAGUGACCUCUCACGUGAAAUGUAUUAGAUUUAAAUUUUCAGGCACUUUAUUAACCAUCGGAUUUCCUAUAUUUUUUAAUGACAUUUAAAGACUUCAAGUAUUGACCAUAUCCUCACGUGGGGCAAGAAUGUUGCCUGUUGUAAAAAUAAGGGUGAAAAAGGAAAAACCAAAGGUCAUUUUUUUUUAAAUUUUUUUUUAAGUUCCAGUUUUUUUGCUGUGUCCUUCGUAGCUGUAACAGUGCUAUGUCUGUCCAGUGAGUUGGUCCUGCAGACAGUGCCUGCUAGUGACCUAUUCAAAGAGGGCAAGAGCCCAGUGCUGCAGGGCCAACAGCAGAACAGAGAUGGCCUUCAUGAGGAACAAACUGGUCCUUUCAGUGUACGCAUUCAGAAGAAGGGAGUUUGCAAUGUCCCCUGUCAUGCAGAAGGCUCCUUGUGAUGAGGGAAUUAUGAGUCUAACCCUUCCAGACAAGAUUAAAUGUUGAGGCAAAAGCCAUAGCAGAAUAAGUGAGCUCUGGUGCACAUAUUCUACUCACAAUGCUCUCCACAGAACAACUUUCUUCGGUUAGCCAUUCUACACGUGAUACUCUUAUUGUGUCCGGUUUGCAACCAAUUUCCAGCAACACAAAGCCUAAAGUCACAGAGUGACACAGCCUUUACUGAUAAAACUGACAAGACAAAAUAGCUGUCUGAUUUUCUUUCUCUGGAAACACAGUGUCUAGCAGUCUCUCACAUUGUCCUUAAAAUGUCAUAACGUUUAACCUGCUCAUUGCCAGGAAGGUGAGCUACCAAUUUUAAGGGUUAAUGACGCAUCAUUCCCAAAAUCCUCCAAAAUUACCAUCCAAGCGUCAGUGUUGUUACCUAGUAAUAUAAGCUAAAAAAAAGUCUUGGGCCAUAAAGUUAAGCCUUCUAUUGCUGAUCUUAGAAAACAGAAACAAAACAUUCUUUUAUACAAUAUCUUCUAUAAUGACUGGUCAUUUUAUAAAAUUCCUGAAUGAGCUUGUUGAAAGUGUCUACUGGAUUAAAAAAAAAAAAAAAAAUAUUAGUUGGCUAUUAGGGGAACUUGUCCUAGGAAUUUUCUUUUUUUUUUAUAUGGUAAAUUUAUUUAUCCCUAUAUUUAACAAAAUGUGGUUGUUCAGCAUGAAAUUUUUUAUUAAAUUAAGAAAUCCAAGCCUCUAUAUCCUGCAACCGGGGGCAUCCAUCUUGGCCCCUUGUCAGUUAUUGUUAUAAGCUCUGUCAGCAUAGAGAAAACAUACAGAGCAGGAGAGAAAUGAAACCAUGUUUACAUUUCUCCUAAUUUACACCGUGUGCCUUGGUUGUGCCUGGACUGUGAUGUAAUUUGCUAACUCUUUAAAAUAAUUCGGGGAGUGGAGGGAGCUUCACGUGAAAAAAGUUUUUACCAAGAUGUAGGUGAUAUUUAAAUUUUUUUUAAAAUUUUUUUAUUCAAAGGUGUGAUUUCCAGAAAACAAUAAUGUUUCCACUUUAGGAUUAAUGAAAAGUCAAAGGAUCAGGUCCAACCAACCUUCUUGAGAAUUCAAAGUGCCUAUUUUGACCUUAAAUUUGAAAUUCGAAUCAGAAAAAUUCAGCUUCUAUGGCCAUAAAUGUGAAAUUCAUUUUAAAUUCUCACUUUGGAAAAUAAGCCUGCCAAUGUCUCCGCUUUAAAGAGGGUAUAAAAGAAGUGUUUGUGUGGUUGGCAAAGAUGUCUCCAGGUUAACAAGGCUAUGGGAUUGAUCAUGACCGUAGCUUGUGGACGUAGGUUCGGAAAUGGUGGUGGACACGUAGAUGUACACAAAGAGUGCUUGGAUAAUUUGUUUUAAAAAAAAUGUAUGCCUUACAUAUGUGUGAGGUUAUUGUUUAAUUUGCUGUGUUUUGGGGACACUAAUAUUUAAUACAUGAAAAAAUAUGUUCAGUUCCGAAACCGAAAUAAAUGAACGUUAAUGGUAAUCAGUUUGAUACGAUGUACAGUUAUUACAGAAUUAUAGGUUCAUGCCAAUGAAUGCCAAGUGUCAGUUGGUGCAAUGUGGCAUAUUGCAUUGAUUUUUAUAUUGAGUAUUCCUCUAGUGGGGUUUGGUACAAAACAUUGUCUCUGGUACUCACAAGAGUACUAUUAUUAUUUUAUUAUUUAUAUAGUGCCAGCAAAUUCCAUAGCACGGGAACAGAGGGGUUGAGGGACCUGCUCGAUGAGCUUACAUGUGGCGAUUUAUUUUAUUUUAUUUGGAAUAUAACAUUGUCAAUUAUAUACACCCUGAGUGAAAUAACAGAUAAGACCAUCACGAGUGAACUUGGGCUUUAUAUGGAAUGCCCAGACAAUCUUUCAGAUUAUUCACAUUAUGCCAUAAAAAUCAAAAUUUAUAACUUUCUAUUUCUUACCAAAACUCCCAGUUUUUACAUACAGUAGCAACCAAUUCGGAUAUCCUGAUUGUGGUAGAGAGGAAUUAAAGUCCAGAGAGCCUUUGGUAGGUUACCAGUGUGGGGCUCUCCCUUCAUUUUGAUUCUAAAGAUGGUGAAUGGGAACAAGUAUAGUUUUUGGGCCCCUGUCUAAUCUCUGGGCCCUAAGCAGCCACUUAAGGAAACACUCUGGGCACCAUAACAACUUCAUUGGAAUUAAGUGGUUAGGGUGCCACGAGUUUCCAGAUGCUGGCUUCCCUUUAGGGUAUAAACCUUAACAAACGGCUCAAACUGUUGAAUCCAGCAACAGGGAGCUCUACCCCCUCAUUUUUUUGCUUUUGUACGAGGUUUGAAUCAGGAAACCUUGGACAGGACCGCCGCUGAUUGGCUUAGAGUGUCAACUGACAUUCUCAGCCAAUCAGUAGUAGUUCCCUAUUCACAAAACUGCUUGCAAAAAGUACAUAUCUUUCCCAAUCCAUUUUGUGAAUGGGGAGCUCCUGAUUAGAUCAUCAGCGGACUCUUUCAACCAAUCAGCGGAGCCCCCGUCCAAGGCUUCCUGAUUCAAGCCUCAAACAAAAGCAUAAGGAAAGGGGCACAGCUAACCAGUGCUGGAUUUAGGAAUUUUUGGGGUUAAACCAUUUCAUGGUUUAACACCUAAAGGUAAGAUGGUGCCAGGAAAUCUCCUGGUACCAUAACAACUUCAUGCUUGUAAGGUCCCUUUAAGGUCACCUUAUGGUUAUUCCAGCUAUAACCUUUAUAUUUUCCUUCAGACAUUCUUUAUUUAAUUUGCAAAUUAUAAAUAACAAAAUGUUUAAAAUUUCUAAUACCUCAAAAUAUAUGUAUUUAUUACACCUUUAAUCAAUAAACAUAUGGCCAUAUGCAUGUUUUCUAAUAUUAUUUUUACAUUUUAUAAUUUCUACUAAUAUAAAACAUUUUGUUGAUAGAAGGGCAACUCUGUAACACAGACCAAAAUGGAAUAGGGACUAGGUUUUUUUUCUUCUUAUUACAACAUAGUACUCCGAGGAAUAUAACCUUAUGUUCCACAGCAUUCUGUUCCAUCUGACUUUAGCGCAGUUCAUUCUGUCUUCUGCCAUUGAACAUACCAUACUCUUGAGUGUGUAGAGCACUGCUGUUUAUCCAGGUUGGGUUAAGGACAUUUGGAGAUUAUACUUUUAAAGGGGCAGUGCAUAAUAUAUUCAUAAAUUGGCUAAACAUCCAUAGAACUGGUUACACUGAGUAAAGGAUAUAAUACAACCUAUGGUUUAUCAGUUCUACACAAUUGCAGAUUUUGUUAAAAAAGAAAAAAAAUCUUCAAUUCAGCUAUUUUGUUCAGUUAGUUUGGCCUGAGAUAUGGAAGACCCUUGCAGGUUCUUCAUAAUUCCCUCCAUUCGCAAAGAAAUUCCUUAAAGGGACAUUACGGACCCCUAAAGCAGUACAGAUUAAUAAAGUGCUUUAUGUGUGAACUGUGUCCCACCCUUUUUUUUUUUCCACUUGACAAAAAGUGCAGAUUUAAAUGGAAAUUGACACUUUUAUAAAACCAACCUUAUUACAACCCCCUGGCUGACUGGUUCUGCUCCUUCCUGGUUUGUUUAGUUCAGUGGAGCUAAACUGAAGAGGCAGCAAUUGCUCAGAGCACCUGCCUUGCAAAGACUUCUCAUUGAGCUGCUUUGGGAAGUCUGUGAUUGGACAGCCACAGAAAGUCUGAGUGAUGUCAGGAGAGGAGGGCUUGUAAAGGCUGCAGACAAGAGAUCUGCAGGUUUUGCAAGGUGUUUUUAGAUAUACGCACAAUGAGAAAAUGCCUAAUAACAUGCAUUCAUGUUUUCAUUGGGAAUAUAUAUACUUAACAGUGUGUUGUUGUUUUUUUUUUGUGUUUUUUCUAAUUUGGGCAGUGGCGUGUCCCUCUUAGGGUUUAUUCACGAAGCCCUGGAAUUUUAAGUGUAGGACAAAAGUUGUUUUUGUUUUGUUUUCUAAAUUCUCCAGUUAGCAUACAAAUUGCCAAUUCUGUAAAGAAGGCAGUUCACCACAAUUCUUGGUUUAUUAAAUAAAACCUCGUGUAACAGACAGAGAGCAAGCAUUACUAUAAACUAGGCAAAUGAUCUUUUAACAGAGAAGUUACCUGUGCUAAUUUGGAAAAAGGUCUAUCAGUAACUUGGUCACAACAGGGUUAACUGUGUUUAAGCGUGGACAAACCUUUCUAUUCCCGAUGCUCACCCACGCUCACUGCACACAGGGAGCAUGCAAUGCACACUCAAGUCACACAUAUAUUUUGUACAGUUAAUAAGGAAGUGAACUUCCUCAUUAUGAGAUCUUCAGCAGAAAGGGCGGGCAUAAGGUGCCUGGGCAUCUCACUGUUUUUGCCAAACUACCUCAAACCUACAAAACUGUUCACCAAAUGGAGGGACUUCACCCACAACUUCCUAAUACCAUAAUAACUAAAGUAAGCUCUAGUGGUUAUGGUGUUUGGAGUGUCCCUUAAAUUGUAAAAUUGUAAACUUUUAUUUUAAGCAGAAAGACUUAUACCUGGAGUAACCUGUUUACUCUUAAACUGCGCCCAAACACUACAGCAGUGACCUUGGCACCCCCAAUAAAGGUGAGAUUCGAUCUGGAACAGUUCACUUUCAGGUAGAAUAUAAAUGGCACAAUUCUUUAUUUUAAUAUAAUCACAUAAAAAUAAAAUGUAAAGACCCCAUACAAAUUCUAAACCAGCAACAUUUCCUCUUUUCAGGACUUGAGCAGAUCUACACUGAUAUGGCACAAGAAAAUGCAGCCCAUCACUAAACGCCUCCAAAACGCGGGACUACCGUACCGAUGGUCAACCCCCAGGUCACUGCUGGUCACGAAGGAAGGGAAAACAUACAAAGCAACUGACCCGGCAAACGGCCCUGCCUUCUUGACAGCGCUGUGCCUCACC